rnacentral:rRNA from 1 species
GACGAACGCUGGCGGCGCGCCUAACACAUGCAAGUCGAACGAGCGAGAGAGAGCUUGCUUUCUUGAGCGAGUGGCGAACGGGUGAGUAACGCGUGAGGAACCUGCCUCAAAGAGGGGGACAACAGUUGGAAACGACUGCUAAUGCCGCAUAAGCCCACGACCCGGCAUCGGGUUGAGGGAAAAGGAGCAAUCCGCUUUGAGAUGGCCUCGCGUCCGAUUAGCUAGUUGGUGAGGUAACGGCCCACCAAGGCGACGAUCGGUAGCCGGACUGAGAGGUUGAACGGCCACAUUGGGACUGAGACACGGCCCAGACUCCUACGGGAGGCAGCAGUGGGGAAUAUUGCACAAUGGGGGAAACCCUGAUGCAGCGACGCCGCGUGGAGGAAGAAGGUCUUCGGAUUGUAAACUCCUGUUGUUGAGGAAGAUAAUGACGGUACUCAACAAGGAAGAGACGGCUAACUACGUG